rnacentral:rRNA from 1 species
AGGAUAAACGCUGGCGGCGUGCCUAACACAUGCAAGUCGAACGCGCUUUCGGGCUUCGGUGCGAGAGCGAGUGGCGGACGGGUGAGUAACACAUGGGUACCUACCUUGGAGUGAGGGAUACCGGCGAGAAAUCGCCGACAAUACCGCAUAGGCUUCUUCACAAGGGAAGCAAAGUGACGCGAGUCACGCUUUGAGAUGGGCCUGUGGCCGAUUAGCUAGUUGGGGGGGUAACGGCUUCCCAAGGCGACGAUCGGUAGCUGGUCUGAGAGGACGAUCAGCCACACUGGGAUUGAGAACGGCCCAGACUCCUACGGGGGGCAGCAGUAACGAAUCUUCCGCAAUGCACGCAAGUGUGACGGAGCGACGCCGCGUGUGGGACGAAGUCCUUCGGGAUGUAAACCACUGUCAGGGGUUACCAAGUUCUGAGGAACCCCAGAGGAAGGCACGGCUAACUCUGCGCCAGCAGCCGCGGUAA